GAGGAUAUAGUUUAGAGGUAGAGUGCAUGCUUAACAUGCAUGAGGUCCUAAGUUCAAUCCCCAGUACCUCCA
rnacentral:tRNA from 1 species